rnacentral:tRNA from 1 species
UCCCCGUUGGCUCAGAUGGUAAAGCAUCUGCCUACAACGCGGGAGACCUGGGUUCGAUCCCUGGGUUGGGAA